rnacentral:rRNA from 1 species
UCACAUAUAAACCAGGAUUAGAUACCCUAUUAUAUUUAAACAAAUUGGGUAGUAUUAUUAAUAAAAACCUUUAUACUUUGGCGGCAUUUUAUCUUAUUAGAGGAAUAUGUUCAUUAAUCGAAACCACACGAUAGUUUUUACUUACUAUAAAAUUUUAUAUACCCCCGUCUAAAGAAUUUAUUUAAAAUUUUUAUUCCAAAUUAUAUUAAAAAAAGUUAGGUAAAGGUGUAGACUAUUAGUAAGAUUAAAUGUAUUACAUUAAAAAAAAUUUAAGGAUAAAACAGUUAACUGUUUAUUAAAAGAGGAUUUAUAAGUAAUUUACUUUUAAUAAAAAUUAAUGAAUAAGAAAAUAAAUGUGCACAUAUCGCCCGUCACUCUCACAUAUAAACCAGGAUUAGAUACCCUAUUAUACAUAUCGCCCGUCACUCUCACAUAUAAACCAGGAUU